rnacentral:rRNA from 1 species
UAGAGUUUGAUCCUGGCUCAGGAUGAACGCUGGCGGCGUGCCUAAUACAUGCAAGUCGAACGAGAACCCGCCUUCGGAUGGGGGAAAGUGGCGCCCGGGUGAGUAACACGUAGCUGACCUACCCUUCACAGGGGGAUAACACCGAGAAAUCGGUGCUAAUACCGCGUAAGCUCGUCAGAAUUAGAAACUGACGAGGAAAACUGAGGUGGUGAAGGAGGGGGCUGCGAGCCAUCAGCUAGUUGGUAGGGUAAAGGCCUACCAAGGCGACGACGGCUAGGGGACCUGAGAGGGUGACCCCCCACACUGGAACUGACACACGGUCCAGACUCCUACGGGAGGCAGCAGUAAGGAAUAUUGCGCAAUGGGCGAAAGCCUGACGCAGCAACGCCGCGUGCGGGAUGAAGGGUUUCGGCUCGUAAACCGCUGUUCUGUGGGAAGAGAUAGGACGGUACCACAGGAGCAAGUCUCGGCUAACUACGUGCCAGCAGCCGCGGUAAAACGUAGGAGGCAAGCGUUAUCCGGAUUUACUGGGCGUAAAGCGCGUGCAGGCGGUUUUGAUAAGUCGUGCGUGAAAGCUCCCUGGCUCAACCGGGAGAGGUCGUGCGAGACUGUCAAACUAGAGACAGGCAGAGGUAGGUAGAAUUCCGGGUGUAGUGGUGAAAUGCGUAGAUUCCGGAGGAAUACCCGUGGCGAAGGCGACCUACUGGGCCUGAUCUGACGCUCAAACGCGAAAGCAUGGGGAGCGAACGGGAUUAGAAACCCCGGUAGUCCAUGCCGUAAAACGAUGUCUACUAGCGUUGGGGUUUAAAGCCGCAAGUGCCGCACAAACGCGAUAAGUAAACCGCUGGGGAUUACGGCCGCAAGGCUUAAAAUUCAAAGGAAUUUGACGGGGGGCCCGCACAAGCACCGGAGCGUGUGGUUUAAUUCGAGGCUACACGAAGAACCUAACCUAGGCUUGACAUGAUAACAGUAGGCUCUUGAAAGAGGGCCGACCUUCGGGCGUUAUUACAGGUGCUGCAUGGCUGUCGUCAGCUCGUGUCGUGAGAUGUUCGGUUAAGUCCGGUAACGAGCGCAACCCUCGGGUCUAGUUACAAGUGUCUAGACCGACUGCCCGGUGCAACUGGGAGGAAGGUGGGGAUGACGUCAAGUCAGCAUGGCCUUUAUGUCUAGGGCUACACACACGCUACAAUGGCCGGUACAAUUGGUAGCCAACCCGCGAGGGGGAGCCAAUCCGUAAAAGCCGGUCUCAGUUCGGAUUGCAGGCUGCAACUGCCUGCAUGAAGUUGGAGUUGCUAGUAAACGCGCAUCAGCUAUGGCGCGUUGAAUACGUUCCCGGGCCUUGUACACACCGCCCGUCACGUCAUGGGAGCUGGUCACGCCUGAAGUCGGUGGGCUAACCGCAAGGAGGCAGCCGCCAAAGGCAGGGCUGGUGACUGGGACGAAGUCGUAACAAGGUAGCUGUACCGGAAGGUGCGGCUGGAUCACCUCCUUAAG